rnacentral:rRNA from 2 species
ACUCCUACGGGAGGCAGCAGUGGGGAAUAUUGCACAAUGGGGGAAACCCUGAUGCAGCCAUGCCGCGUGUGUGAAGAAGGCCUUCGGGUUGUAAAGCACUUUCAGCGAGGAGGAAAGGUUGAUGCCUAAUACGUAUCAACUGUGACGUUACUCGCAGAAGAAGCACCGGCUAACUCCGUGCCAGCAGCCGCGGUAAU